rnacentral:misc_RNA from 1 species
CUCCUUUCAUUUUCAACCUGCUUUCUCUCUUCUUCUGCCUGAACUUCAAGUUUUUGUUCAAUUUCCUGGCGCCGCUUUUGCCUUUCAGUAGCAACAGUGGAUUCUUGUUUAAAUUUUUGAAGGGUACCCAUCAACAAGCCAAAUAUUCGCCGGUUCCUUUGCUUUCCCUUUUCAUCCAUAUUUUGAUCCUGGAUAAGGUCUCUACGUGUGCGCUCUUUGGAGGUAGCUACAACUGAAGACUGCAAUGCUGGCUUUUUAACAUCAUCAUCCUCCGGGUCGCUUUCCUGGCGUGAUUCUCUUCUGGUCCGACGCUCCCCGCCCAGCCUACUGACUGCCCCUUCAAGGUCUCUCUGUUUGGCUGGG